GAGGAGGAGAGCUCCCCGCCCUGCACUGGAGAAAGAGGUAAGUUUAACCCCUUCCUCUCCAUCCAGCCCAGCGGGAGGGGGACCCUGGGGGUGGGGGCACCCUAAGGGCACUAUAGUGCCAGGAAAACAAGUAUGUUUUCCUGGCUCUAUAGUGAUCCUUUAAUUAUUUUUGUCGUUCUGCUACAUACUGACAGAAGCAUAACCCAUCAUCUAAAUGUCUCGGAGGAUCUCUACUGUUGAAGGGAAAAUGUUUUUUGGCCAAGCAACAUGCAUAAUCAGAUGAAUAGUUGACAACAGCUUUUUCCC